AUGAACGCUGGUGGCGUGCCUAAUACAUGCAAGUCGAGCGAACAGACGAGGAGCUUGCUCCUCUGACGUUAGCGGCGGACGGGUGAGUAACACGUGGAUAACCUACCUAUAAGACUGGGAUAACUUCGGGAAACCGGAGCUAAUACCGGAUAAUAUAUUGAACCGCAUGGUUCAAUAGUGAAAGACGGUUUUGCUGUCACUUAUAGAUGGAUCCGCGCCGCAUUAGCUAGUUGGUAAGGUAACGGCUUACCAAGGCAACGAUGCGUAGCCGACCUGAGAGGGUGAUCGGCCACACUGGAACUGAGACACGGUCCAGACUCCUACGGGAGGCAGCAGUAGGGAAUCUUCCGCAAUGGGCGAAAGCCUGACGGAGCAACGCCGCGUGAGUGAUGAAGGUCUUCGGAUCGUAAAACUCUGUUAUUAGGGAAGAACAAAUGUGUAAGUAACUAUGCACGUCUUGACGGUACCUAAUCAGAAAGCCACGGCUAACUACGUG
rnacentral:rRNA from 1 species